UACGUAGGUGGCGAGCGUUGUCCGGAAUAACUGGGCGUAAAGGGAGCGUAGGUGGUUGUUUAAGUUAAAUGUGAAAUCCCGGGGCUCAACUCCGGAACUGCAUUUAAUACUGGAUAACUAGAGUACAGGAGGGGUAAGCGGAAUUCCUAGUGUAGCGGUGAAAUGCGUAGAUAUUAGGAAGAACACCAGAGGCGAAGGCGGCUUACUGGACUGCAACUGACACUGAGGCUCGAAAGCGUGGGGAGCAAAC
rnacentral:rRNA from 1 species